GAGGUCCUAGCUUAAUUAAAGCGUCUGGGUUGCAUUCAGAAGAUGUAAGUUAGUGUCUUGCGGAUCUUA
rnacentral:tRNA from 1 species